rnacentral:rRNA from 1 species
GAUGAACGCUGGCGGCGUGCCUAAUACAUGCAAGUCGAGCGAACGGACGAGAAGCUUGCUUCUCUGCUGUUAGCGGCGGACGGGUGAGUAACACGUGGAUAACCUACCUAUAAGACUGGGAUAACUUCGGGAAACCGGAGCUAAUACCGGAUAAUAUUUUGAAUCGCAUGGUUCAAAAGUGAAAGACGGUCUUGCUGUCACUUAUAGAUGGAUCCGCGCUGCAUUAGCUAGUUGGUAAGGUAACGGCUUACCAAGGCAACGAUGCAUAGCCGACCUGAGAGGGUGAUCGGCCACACUGGAACUGAGACACGGUCCAGACUCCUACGGGAGGCAGCAGUAGGGAAUCUUCCGCAAUGGGCGAAAGCCUGACGGAGCAACGCCGCGUGAGGGAUGAAGGUCUUCGGAUCGUAAAACUCUGUUAUUAGGGAAGAACAUAUGUGUAAGUAACUGUGCACAUCUUGACGGUACCUAAUCAGAAAGCCACGGCUAACUACGUG